GCUCGCAUGGCUCAGCUUGGUAGAGCACUCCCUUGGUAAGGGAGAGGUCACCAGUUCAAGUCUGGUUGUGAGCACCA
rnacentral:tRNA from 2 species